GUUGAACGCUGGCGGCGUGCCUAAUACAUGCAAGUCGAGCGAACGAACGAGAAUUUUGCUUGGCUUCAGCGGGGGGCGGGCGGGUGAGGCACAGGUGUAUACCCGGCCGAGGAGACUGGCAUAACUUCGGGAGAGCGUAUCUAGUAUCGGAUAAGAGUUUGAACGGCGGGGUUCAAAAGAGAUAUACGGUCUUGAUGUCACUUAUAGAGAGUUCCGAGCUGGAUUAGCUAGUUGGUAAGGUAACGGCUUACCAAGGCAGCGAUGGAUAGCCGAUCGGAGAGGUGGACAGGCCACACUGGAACUGGAACAGGGUCAGGCCUCCUACGGGAGGAACCAGGAGGGAAUUUGCCGCAAUGGGGGAAAGCCUAACGGAGCAACGCCGGGUUAGUGAUGAAGUCCUUGGGAUCGUAAACCUCUGUUAUUAGGGAAGAACACAUGUAUAAGUAACCGUGCAGAUCUUGACGGUACCUAAUAAGAAAGCCCCGGCUAACUACGUG
rnacentral:rRNA from 1 species